GUUCAGAACUCUUUCUCAGUGGGCCGUCACGGAGCUGCAGUUUUUCCGUCUCCAAUAAAAACCUAAAACCCCCCCCAUAGAACAGCUGAAGAGAGCUAGCAAACGAAGAAGAAGAAGGAAAAGAAUGGAGCUUGCGUUCGCUAAUCCUUCAUCCACCUCAUUAUUCACCAUCAGCAAAGCUUCACCAAUCUUCUUCAAACCCGGACCCCCCAAGGUUUUCACCCUCCGCUGCUCUUCCAACUCACCCGCCGCCGCUGCCGGUAAUUGUACACAAAUCCCCUGAUUUCCCCUUAUGUUUAUAUUAGAAUGAUGACGAUGGAAUCGUUAAUCGAGGAGAUUUGUUGCCAAAGACUGCAUUUUUAUUUGUUUAUUUGAUAAAAUCUUGAAUUAUUGAGUAAAAAAAACUUCAAUUAUUAUCAAUAUUUCGAGUUAAUCAAUGAGCCGGUUUGAUUUUACAUCUCCAAACAAAUUGAACCGGAUAGUUGGGAUAAUCAUAUAUAAUGACAUGAUUCCAUAAAUAUUUUUAAUUUCCUAAAAACAUCACCACCUAACAAAUUAACCUCAAAGAUUGACACAUUUGACUAUUCGUCUCGUCAUCUAAUUCAUCAUGUAUAACACAAAACUCUCAAAACAUUAUAAUUCGUUCACUCCAAAGCAGUAGUAAUUUUAAGUUUACAAACAAGCCACUAAUUUUGUACCUAUUAUCUCAUACAAUUUUUACUUUAUGAAAUUGCUUCUGAUGUUUAACAAUGUCCUUAAUUGAAAUGACAUCGACCAACUUUAUUAAUGGGAAUCGUCAAUAACGGUGUGAAGUUGUUUUGAUUGAAAAAUUCAAUUUUAUUUUAAAAAUUAGUGUGAGCUACUUAGCUUACUAAAACGAGAGUGAAUCAAACGGUUCAGAACUCUUUCUCAGUGGGCCGUCACGGAGCUGCAGUUUUUCCGUCUCCAAUAAAAACCUAAAACCCCCCCCAUAGAACAGCUGAAGAGAGCUAGCAAACGAAGAAGAAGAAGGAAAAGAAUGGAGCUUGCGUUCGCUAAUCCUUCAUCCACCUCAUUAUUCACCAUCAGCAAAGCUUCACCAAUCUUCUUCAAACCCGGACCCCCCAAGGUUUUCACCCUCCGCUGCUCUUCCAACUCACCCGCCGCCGC
rnacentral:lncRNA from 1 species